rnacentral:tRNA from 1 species
CGCCUCGUGGCGCAGGGUGGUGCGCGGACCGUCGGCCGGGUCGGCGGCGAACUCCUCGGGUUCACUCCCGUCGCGGCGC